CCGUGCAAAGGUAGCAUAAUAAUUAGUUUUUUAAUUGAAAACUUGUAUGAAUGGUCGGACAAAACAAAAACUGUCUCUAUUGUAAAAAUGGAAUUUAACUUUUAAGUGAAAAGGCUUAAAUAACUCAACGGGACGAUAAGACCCUAUAAGCUUUAUAUUUUAAAUUAAUUAAUUUAAAAAUAAAAUUAAAUGUAUUUAUUAAUAAAAUAUUUGGCUGGGGCGGCAUAUUUAAAAAUUUUAUUAACUUUUUAAAAUUUAACCACAUUUAAGUGAAAGAUAAGAGAUCCUUUUUAAAGAUUUUAAGAUUAGUUACUUUAGGGAUAACAGCGUUAUUUUUUUUGAGAGCCCAUAUCGAAAAAAAAGAUUGCGACCUCGAUGUUGAAUUAAAAUUUCUAUAUAGUGCAGCAGCUUUAUAAGAGGGUCUGUUC
rnacentral:rRNA from 1 species